UCCUGCUAGCGACAACUAACUUAACCGUAGGAUGCCAGAGGCACGAUAUUUCGUUCUUGUCUGAAUUGCAGUGAAGCGUACCGAGAAUCUUCCGGCGAAUGUUAAUCACAUUUGGAAAGGUUACAGUAUGGAAACUACCGAUAAGUUGGUACUGUGGGCUACUUAGAAUUUACGUUUGGAAGUGCGAGCUAUGUCAGGCUUUGUAGAGUACAAUAACUGCGUUGCGUAUCAAUAAUGUCCUCAGGAGGGCAGUCCUUCGUUGCACGGGAUUAGAAAAAGACUCAAAUUUGGCCCAAAUUUAACUUUCUUAUUAUAAAACAUUUAUAACAUCAAAGGAAACGAAAUCGGACCACAGCAGAACAGACCAGCCAACCGAGUGUGCUUCCCCAUGUAGACACUGCAGCCCACAGGACAAAAGAACGAUCGGAUAAUGUCAGCAAGGAGCCUUUUAAAUCGUCCAUUCCAUGAAGAAAGCCUGGCUGAGUGCUUGAAUAUCUUCUUACCUUUAAAGAGUCAGCUGACUUGAAACGGGAACAGGCUCACAGUGGUGAUGCUGGACUUAAAUGAAGAAUUCUUAAACUUCUUUAUGACAUAUUGCAAUUGGGCUGACAUGAACUUGACUGCUUCAAAAGUCCUACCGCACCCUCAAUGAGAGUCAAAUCAUUGUGUUCUGCUUUUAAUUCAAUUUUCCCUCAUGGAAUCAAAAUGAGUUUUUAACUUGCCCAUUAAAUGUAAUUACGGUUCAUCCGCUUGCAUAAAAUGGUGAAUUAUGAAGAGGGGUCUGUGGUUAUGAAUCGGGCCACAUAAAUGAAGGGGCGCCCCCAUCAUUACAGUGAUUAGCUUUUUGUUGCUGGACAGAAUCAGUUGACUACCACUCGGCGUACCGCUGAGGCCAUCGAGUGGCCAAACCACGCUCAGACUUCAUGUACUUUCUCCUCUGUUAGCUUGCUGAUUACUGAACCAUCUAUCAGGCUUAGUACAUCAACACCUGGAUCAAAGCUAAAAGGUUAAUUAAAUCUGUUUGUAAUGAACAUACCAAAGUGUCAGAAAAUCCAAAUUUAGCUGAUGCUAACUAACGCUCUCACAGAAGAAAUGCCACCACAGGUUCAGACUUCUGAUUGGGUGGGUAGCAGGAGGACAUGUGGAUUUGGUCUCCUCAGUCUAAAUCGUAAUCUCACCCCACACUAUGAAUGAGGCUGGGAAAUUUAAAUUCCCACGGUAACCAAACUGAAGCGUUUAAUCCUCAGUUUCCUGUCUGUUCUUUCCUUUCUCUCUCUCUCUCUCUCUCUCUCUCUCUCUCUCUCUCUCUCUCCUAUCUUCCCAUGUCCAUUAGACUUGGCAGACUAAUCGAGCAGCACCAAUUGCUCCCGCCGUGAGAUCAUUAAGUAAAUUAUUUUAAGAUCAAACGGCCAGCAGUCACAAUGAAGCUUAGUGUGACGGUAAAAGCUUAAGAAGUCGUCCAUUCCCCCGGUGCCCCACCUCCUCCCCGAGCUCAAAUGAAAGCUCCACGGGGAGCGCCCCACACCUCUCAGGUGGAUGGCCCCUCCGUGGUCCCAUUAGUAGCCUUUUAGCUGCAGGCUAAGGUAGGGCUUGCUAAUUGGCCUCGGGAACAAAACUAGCCCACUGACAGGAGCUGACUCGUGUGCAGCUGAACAGGGCAAAUUAUUUCAACCUCCAGGCAACAACUGUAUGUCCACUACGGAGAGACGACCAGUUGACUUCCCCUGCCCUUCCACUGAAUGAGCCACUAGGGGAAGAUUAUUGAAAUAAAAUGUCAUUUUAUGACCAUUUUGAGGCUCUGCUCGCAAAGCGUCAGAGAGGGACAGGAUAGGCAAAACUGGGCAAAAGGGAAACAAAUCUUUCAGCUUUUUUCACUUUUUGGUGUGUAACAUUCUGAAUUUGUCUGUCAAGGUUUCAGUCAUCUUCUGUUCUUUUGUGUGUUACCAAGCGGUACGCUCUUUCAACUGCAAAUUUUACCAUUAAAGCCACAGGCAAAGGAGGUUAGCUUUCCCUUGUGUCUUGCAGUAGUUAAAGAUCAACAGAGCCCUGUAUUCACCAAGAACAACAAAAGUUUGUGCUUCCAUUGUGAUACUAGGCUAAUGGUAAAUAGCCUUAAGUCCAGUACCUUUUGACCUGAGCCUGUUCCAUUACCUCUUGGAAUUUGAUACUGUUUCUGUCCAUGCCUUUUACAACCCGUGUGAUAUUACGUCUAUUAAA